rnacentral:rRNA from 1 species
AUUGAACGCUGGCGGCAGGCUUAACACAUGCAAGUCGAACGAGUGGCGGACGGGUGAGUAAUGCUUGGGAAUCUAGCUUAUGGACGGGGAUAACUACGGGAAACUGUAGCUAAUACCGCGUACCAUAGGAUGAGCCCAAGUGGGAUUGGGUAGUUGGUGAGGUAAAGGCUCACCAAGCCGACGAUCCCUAGCUGGUCGUAGAGGAUGACCAGCAAGACUGGAACUGUGACAGGGUCCGGAGUCCACCGGGAGACAGAAGUGGGGAAUAGUGCGAAAGGGGAGAAAGCCGGAUGCGGCCAUGCCGCGUGUGUGAAGAAGGCUUUCGGGUUGUAAAGCACUUUCAGCGAGGAGGCGUUACUCGAAGAAGAAGCAACGGCUAACUCCGUGCCGGCCGCCGCGGUAAUAC